GACGAACGCUGGCGGCGUGCUUAACACAUGCAAGUCGAGCGGUAAGGCCCUUUCGGGGGUACGACGAGCGGCGAACGGGUGAGUAACACGUGGGUGACCUGCCCUCAGCUCUGGGAGUAAGCCUGGGAAACCGGGUCUAAUACCGGAUAUGACUCCAUGACGCAUGUUGUGGGGUGGAAAGCCUUGUGCGGCUGAGGAUGGGCCCGGCGGCCUAUCAGCUUGUU
rnacentral:rRNA from 1 species